rnacentral:tRNA from 2 species
CGGGAUGUGGCUCAGUCUGGUAGAGCACCGCGUUCGGGACGCGGGGGUCGCUGGUUCAAAUCCAGUCAUCCCGACCA